GUGCAGCAGGCGCGAAUACUCCGCUAUGUCGGAAACGACGACGGGGGAAUCCUGAGUGCCUGCACUAUUGUGCAGGCUUUUGUCGAGACUAGAAACCUCGGCGAAUAAGGACUGGACAAGACCGGUGCCAGCACCCGCGGUAACACCGGCGGUCCAAGUGGUAGCCACGAUUACUGGGUUUGAAGCGUCCGCAGCUGGACUGCUAAAAUCCUGGGUCAAAAUCCUGGAGCUUAACUUCAGGGUCGCCUGGGGACACUGACAGUCUCGGGACCGGGAGAGGACAAGGGAACCCCAUGGGUAGGGGCGUAAAAUCCUAUAAUCC
rnacentral:rRNA from 1 species